UCCCUUCCAAGAACGAACUGAGCCAACUCGUCACCAUUUCAAAUUUGAGAGAAGUUACGUUGCUGUGUUUUUUCAAUUUCAUUCAAUUUCUAAAUCUUAAUUCAUUACAAAUUUCUUUAUUUUUUUUAAUUUCUUCAACCCCUUCCUACCAUUACCAGAUUCACCACUAUUUUGCUGCAAAAUAUCGCAAGACCCAAAUCUGAAUCCAAAUCAAAUUUCAUCCCAAACCACCACUUUCUUCUACUGAUUUCUUCAAUUUCAGGUCAAAAAAGUUUUGACUCACGUUACUACAAAUUGAGAAAAAGCUUCAACUCGUUCUUACCACCACUUUCUCCUGCUAAUUUCUUGAAUUACAUUCCAUAUAUCAAAUCUAAAUUCAUUCUUUGACACCAUUGAAGCAAAUGAUUAAACCCAUUUAUCAUCAGAACAAACGAGAAAGUUUCAAACAACAAAAAUCCCAUAUUUAGGAUUAUUAACUUACAACAAAUCUCCGGUCAAAAAGAAAAAACUUACAACAGAUCUCUUACAAAAAAAGUAGCCAAUUCAUUUCAAAUUUCAAAUCCCUCAAACUAAUUUAUGAAAUUGAGAACAUGCAACUAAGAUUAAAAGAAAGAAUAACAAAUCGAGAAAAAUCCAUGACAUCAAUUAGCAAAAUAAAUGAAUAAAUUUCAUGAUAGUCAUGGAUCAAAACAAAAUAGAUACAGCAGGAAAAAGAAGGAACAUCUAUUGUUGCAGUUGAAGAAGGUUUGGGUGACGGAGAUGAGGAAGAAUCACUUAGUGGAGGCAGCAGCAGCAGUAACGGAAAUGACAACAGAGGAGUGGGUUGAG
rnacentral:lncRNA from 1 species